GUAAUCACUUCAAGCCAUUAAAGGGGCAAUUUAAAUAAUAGUUAUAGAACAAAAUCAUUAUUUCUCAUAGAAAAUACCUGCAUUUUUCUUUAGGCAUAACAACGUCAAAAUCAAUAAGACAUAACUAAGAGGUUUGGACUUGAACAAAUACAUCAUGUAAAUCCAAUUGCUUCUCUAUCGAAUUACUGUGCCAACCCCAUUCAUGAUUCCAGUUUAACUGGAGAUGCACGCUGAUGUCCAUAACAAUUGUGGCAACUAAACUCAAAGCAUCACCAUGAUUUAUGACUGAUGACCUACAGAAUCAUAUAGACAAGAAGCUCUGACUUUGGUCACCAGUAAACUCCACAAGUCCAACACUUAAAAUGAUGAAACCAGAGAAAAUCUCUCACGAUUUACUCUCUAACUUAAAGCUGAGAAGUAUACUUGAUAAAAUUAUGGCAAUCAGUGCCAACCUUAAGGUUCUUACCAUACAAAUUGGCAUUCCAGAAGAUGUGCACAUAAACAAGUGCUAGUUAUUCACUAAGGAAACCAAAAAGUUUACUUUGCUCUUCUUCCACAUCUUGUAUCAUUGGUUUCACAUCAGAUGAGUACCCACUUUUUUUUAAUCUUCCAUUGAGCUUCUCCAACUAUGAAUAUAUGUUACAGUACCGAGUUUGUGAUCUAGUUGCAGGGGGAACUAAACACCUAUCAAAGGUAGGAUUUUUGAAUAGAUCCUUUGUUGGGUUUUUCUACCUUUACGACCUAUCUUGCUUAAUAAACAAAGAUAAGGAAUGAAGGGGCUUGUUUAGAGAGAACCCACUGAUCUCCUCACAAGAAGAAAUUAUGGACCUGAUUCUUAUGUUGGAUCCAAGACAGCCCUGGUAGUUUGUUAACUCUUCUCUGCCGCAUUAAACUCCUCACAUUAGCUGCCUCUUCCCACCUAUGAUCAGUAGAAUACAUGUUUGACAACAAAAUAUAGGAACCUGCAUCAGAUUGUUCGAGGUUCAAUAGUCUUUCAGAUACCCACUUUCCCAUCUCAACAUUUUUGUGAAGUCUGCAACAAGAUAGAAAUGACUUCCAAACUGCACUCAAGUGGGAGAUACCAUUUUCAUGAAUAAACUCUUUUGCCUCAUUCAAGCGACCAGAUCGACCAUAAAGAUCUACCAUACAAGUAUAGUGUUCAAAACCAGGCUUGAUACCAUAAACUUUUUGCAUCAACUCAAAAUAUUUACAGCCUUCUUCAAGCAACCCUGCAUGGUUACAAGCAAUUAAAACACCAAUAAAUGUAAUCUCAUUUGGUUUAAUUCUCUCACUCAUCAUGCACUCAAAGAGUUGAACAGCCUCCUGCCCUUGUCCAUGGAAAGCAAAUGCAGAUAUCAUUGAUGUCCACAGUACGACAUUCAUAUCAAUAUUUUGUUUAAAGAUCAUUUGAGCAUCAUUCAGGCUUCCACAUUUAGCAUACAUAUCAAUUAAUGAGGAACAUAAAUGAGAAUCUAGUUUGUGCCCAAUUUUCUGAAUCUGGGCGUGGACCUGCCUUCCUAAUUCUAAAAUCCCUUUAUUUGCACAAGCAGAGACAAUGCUUGUGAGUGUAAAUUUGUCCACCACAACUUGUUCAUUGACCAUAAACCUGAAUGUUUGUAAUGCACUUUCAUACUUGCCAUUCCUAACAUAUCCAGAAACCAUUGAACUCAAUGAGACAAUUUCUGCUAAUGAAUCAUCACAAGAAAUCUUCAGAGGAAUUGUUCUAAGAGUCAUGGAUGCCUCUUCCAUUUUCCCGCAUUUGCAAUACAUACCCAAAAGUGAAUUCCUAAUAAACCCAUUAUUGUGAAGCACAAGUCUUAGAACCUGGCCAUGAAUCUGUUUACCCAGCUCCAAAAGCGAUAAACAUGAAACCAAAUUCAAAGCUAUAGAAAAUGUAACCGCAUUGAACAUAGGUCCAAUUUCCAACAUCUUGUAAAGCAACUCCAAUGCAGUUCUUUCGAAUCCAUUUUUCAUUAGCCCGUCCAUGAUCGUGUUCCAACUUGUAACAUCUUUGAAGUUCAAACUCAGGAACAAAUCAAGGGCUCUUUGCACAUGUCCCAUAUGCAAAUAUGCACUUAUCAUUAUAUUCCAUGACACGGUAUCUUUCCCUUCCAUUGACUUGAACAAUCUUUGUGCAUAAUCCAAAGCCCCACAUUUCACAUAAAGAUCAAGAAUAGAAUUCUCCAAGACAACAUCCAACCCAAUCUCAUUUGUCAAUAUCCACCCAUGAAUCGCCUUCCCAUUUCUUAACUCACACAAAGUAGAGCAGCAUUUUAAAACACUAGAUAAGGUGAACUGAUUAGGACAAACACCCUCCCUUUGCAUUUUUCUAAACAAAUGCAAAACCAUUUUAUAAUUCUCAUAAUGAGCAAAACCCGAUAUCAGAAUAGUCCAGGUGCGAAUGUCUCUAGCAAGAAUUUCAUCAAACAGCUUGUGGGCAUGAUACAAAUUCUGAGACUUCUUUACAUAGAGGUUCAAAAGAUAAUUACAGAUACCCAGACUUUGAAGAGAGCCAUUCUUGAUGACAUAAGCAUGUAGUAGAUCUGCUUUUGUCUCGUGAUGAGAGUAACCAAAAGAUAAGGAUUGAUGAUGCCUAUAGGAUUGUUGACAGUGAUGAAGCUCAAAUUUAGUGGUGUUUAUGAUAUCUGUAAUUGCUGGAACAGGGAAGGGU
rnacentral:misc_RNA from 1 species